GAAUAACUAGAAUGAUGAAAGGAAGAAGCACAGAUUAGAUGUGUCCAUUUUCUUUCACCUCACUGACAUGUACAACCUGAUAUGAGCUUCAUUUCCCCUAGCACUACAAAUCUGGAUUCUGCUGUCACAGCAGAAGAAGAGAGAGAAUAAACCCAGCAGGCCUUGCAGAUGAACAGACUGUAGCUCUGGGUGGGAGGAACAAGUUCCAAAGUAAAGGGCCACUCAUCAGAAAUCGCCUGUUCCCACCCUCUUCCUAUUUAAUAAGGAGCUGUUGGCUUGGGCACCUCAUCUGAUAUCAUUGACCAAGGUAUCACGGAAGAAGAAAGGUAGUCCUUAAGGCCAAACGCUUUAGAGCAGAGGUUCCCAAAAUGAAUUAUAGACCACCAGUAGUGGACAGUGAUGGAAUAACUACCCAUCGGGGAAGUUUCCUUCUAAUCCCCAUCAGUUAGUGGCCAAUUUAUGUCCUGAAGGAUGAGGGCUUAUAGUUCUUACAAUUUUUUAGCCUUUCUAAAGUAAAUGCAGGUGUUCUCGUUACCAUAUAAAUAUAUAAUCCUUCUUUAAAACCUACUAAGCUCUUGGUUUCAAUGUUAUAGUGUGGCAAUGAGUUCCAUGGGUGAAAUAUGCCUUGGGUAAAAGAAUAGUUCCUUUUAUCAGUUGUAAUUUGUUCCCUUUCAGUUUCUUUGAAACUAUUAUCAACUCUUCCUUAGAGAUUUGGGUGCCCAAUUUCCAUUAAAAUUAUUUUGAAAAUCCCACCCACAAUGUUUGCUAGUUCUUCUUUAAAAGAUUAUCCACAUGGAUUCCACUUCUGGUACGCACAAGCCCCAUGCAUGGAAGAUUGGAUUAUUUUGGCCAUCCGUGUCUGUCUGAGUCAGGAAUGAGACCCGUGUUGAACACUCACCACGCUGCUGUGUUUGGAUCCAAGCACUAGAUCUGUGAGAUUUUCUGCUCCCUUGGUCUGGUCUAGGGUUGCCAGACAUUCGGUUUUCAACUGGAACACCCGGUUGAAAAGGGACUCUGGCGGCUCUUGCUGACCGGGCUGUUAAAAGCUGUUAAAAGACAGGCUUACCUCAGUCUCCUCAUCAGUCUUGAGCAUUCUUUGAGAUUUGAUCAGUGUCCUUUCAGGAUCUCAUGUCUCUUUUGAACAUUACUCCUCCAACUGUGUUCAUGUCCAGAUCAUGGAGUCUGCUCUCACUCCUGCCCUAAAUUCUAUUUGUGUUUCUGACCCUCCCAGACUUUAUGUUCUUAAAACCUAGUACUAACAUCUUGGGUUCAUUGUUCCUUCUCUUGUUUUUUGUUUUUGUUUUUUCUUUCUCUGCUCCUCUGCAGACAAGUUGGAGAUAACUGGUUGGAUCUAGACAGACUGCAGCCACCCCAUUGUUCUGCUAGGGCAAGGCUUAUUCAGUUGUUGAUGGUACUUAAUGGCCAUUCAUUCUGAGGCUGGCCACACUCCCUCUCCUUAACACAAGAAGUGUGAUGCAAGACUACAGUACAGGCAGCCCAUAAGGGCAUAAACAUACACGUAGUUCAUAACAUCAAACAGAUUCCCCAGAUCCUCACAGUAUAGUUACUAGUUCUUUGGUUCCACCCAUUGGCAGUAAAUAAAUAUGUACAAAGAAUAAAUAAAAAUUAGAAAAGUUUAGGGGUACCAGGUACCCAUGGUACCAGGCCACUAGCCACUCUUGCUGAAAUAAAAUCCCUGAGAUUUAAAACUUUUGUGAGGCUACUAUCCUGAUCAACGAUGGGCACUCUAGAUGCCUCUUUCACCUCAGCAGGAGACCCAUCCCUGAGAGAUGCUCCAUGUGUUGCUCUUUCUACAAAAGGACACAGAAAGUGAGAAAGGCCCACCUCAGCUUUUCUCUACAGGAGCUCUCAAAUGAGGGCUCUUCAGAGCUGGAGACAAAAGAUCCCAGCAAGCCUGAAAAGUCAGUUUUGAUGAGUGCUCCUGUGAGCUGCAGCUCAACACUGAACUCCUAAGUUCAUUUUUCUUCAAAGAGAUCGAACCUCUAGACUACUUACUCCAGCAGAAUAGUCAAGACUUUCUCUGCUCAGUCAUCAUCAGAAGGAGAUAAGAAGGAACAUCGCUCCCAGAGCGAACACAGCCUUUCAUUGGUGCCUAGUAAAACAAGACAAAAGACCCAUCAUAUCUCUGUUCAGGUGGAGGGCAGCACAUGACUCAGAUCAGGUCUCUCUGAUGCCUCAGCACAGGCUGCUCACCAAGUACUCAUGAUGAUACUGCCUGAAAUUGUACACUUCUCUUGGUUUUAACUCCUCAGUACCUGUGCUCUAAACCUCAGUGCCUGCAUAAGCCUCCAUAGGUGUGUGUAUGUAGGUGUAUGUAGGUGUUUCUUGGCCUGCCUUUCUCAGUAUCAAAGAUGUUCUUGGUAUUCCUAGUGAUCCACUCAGUGACUGCACAUCACCCUUGUUGUCCUUAUCUGCUGUUCUAAGCUGUUCUUCUAGAAGUGCUACUAACUUGGUACUUCUCACUUAUACAGCCCUUAUACUGAGGAGCUUUCCUGUUUAGGUUUUGAGUGGUAUUCAAGAGCUCCCUAGCACACCAGGUAGAGUAUCUCCCCCAUGAAUUGAGUAUAUAUAUUUUUUCACCUCCCCUUCCAAACAUAGCAGGGAGCUAUCCUUCAUCAUACACCUCAUGCUUCUUCAUAUGAGCCAUACUGGUCUACUUGCAGGAUUUUAUAAUUGUACUAUGAGAAUUAAUGUAUGAUUUCAUCCUGACAGACUGCCAGUGUCUGUACUGAUGUUAAGGCAGGGACAAACCAGAACAAACCUUAUGACUGAUUAUAGUCAUCCUUUUGUUUUAGGAUAAGUUAUAAUGUCUACUAUGGUUUCCUACAUGUAUUACAAAUUAGGCACUCUAGUUAAAUAUACAUUUCUUUGUUUUAAGGUUUAGUAAGUAAGAGACAAGAUCUUGUAUUUGUCUGUGUCAAAGAGAUUAGAGGAAGGCUUAAUUUACUAUGCCUUUCUUGCUCAAAAUAAAAAUUGCUGUAUUCUCAAAGGUCUCUGUAAAAGACUGUUUAUGUGAAUGAGGAAUGUAUGCAUCAGGAAAAGGUAAGGUGUGAAGGCCAUUGUUAUAGCCAGAUGGUCAAGGAAGAAGGAGUGAAGAGACUUAACGACACCAGAGAAUCAUCAAUGUGCAUCCAUAAUGAAGGAAGGGCAGAUUGAUGACCCUGAGGAGAAGGCUGACACCCCUAAAGACAGGACCAUUGAUUAAAUCGGAACCAGGACAGGAUGACCCUCUUGGAGGUGUAUUGGAAUGUUUACAUCAAAAGAUACACCAAUUAAGAAGUAACCAGUCACAAACUGACACAGCAAAA